GAUGAAGAACGUAGCGAAAUGCGAUACGUAAUGUGAAUUGCAAAUUCAGUGAAUCAUCGAGUCUUUGAACGCACAUUGCGCCCCCUGGUAUUCCGGGGGGCAUGCCUGUCCGAGCGUCAUUGCUGCCCUCAAGCACGGCUUGUGUGUUGGGCCCCGUCCUCCGAUCCCGGGGGACGGGUCCGAAAGGCAGCGGCGGCACCGCGUCCGGUCCUCGAGCGUAUGGGGCUUUGUCACCCGCUCUGUAGGCCCGGCCGGCGCUUGCCGAUCAACCCAAAUUUUUAUCCAGGUUGACCUCGGAUCAGGUAGGGAUACCCGCUGAACUUAAGCAUAUCAAUAAGCGGAGGA
rnacentral:misc_RNA from 1 species